GAGCUUGCCUCGGCAGCACAUGUACUAAAAUUGGAGCGAUACAGAGAAGGUUAGCAUGGCUUUCCGUGCAAGGAAGACACGCAAAUUCCUGAAGUGUUCCAUAUUUUU
ensembl:snRNA U6 U6 spliceosomal RNA